rnacentral:lncRNA from 1 species
GGGUUCUGCUUCGUCCUCGCCGUGCUGACCGGGCCCUUCACCUACGGCUUCCUGCACCCGGGCCAGGGCCACUUCCAGCCCAGCAACAUCUACGCCUCCACCGCGCUCUUCGCGAUCGUGAUCACCAGCACCGCCUCACCCGUCCUCAUCCGCAUCGUCACCGAGCUCAAGCUCAGCGGUUCCGAGACCGGCCAGAUCGCCAUCGGCGCCGCCUUCGCCAACGACAUGGCUAGCCUCACCGCUCUGAGCGUCAUCGUCGUCACCCACACCCUGUAUGGCACGAUGCCCAAUGAGAAGGAGUCCUCGCCGCCGGCCAAGGUCGCGGUGGUGGCGUGGAUGGCGCUGACGGUGUGGAUGGCCGUUAACCUUGCGGCGUGGGUGGCUCGCAUGCUCAACCGGCUCAAGCGCGGGAGGCAGUACAUCAGCAAGUACGAGCUGUGCGGUAUGCUGCUCCUCAUCGUGGGCCUCUCGCUUCUAGAGCAGAUCAUGGGCUACAGCGCCUCCAUGACGGCCUUCCUCAUCGGGCUCGCCAUGCCACGCGAGGGCCCAACCGCGAGGACGCUAAUGGACCGCCUCGCCUACCCUGUGCACCAGCUCUUCAUGCCACUCUGCUUCGCGGCCAUCGGUGCUCGCCUCGACUUUGCCAAGAUCGGCAAGUUCACGGUGGUCCAGCUCGUCGUGGCCGUCACCUUCACUACGUUGCUGAGCACGGCGGGGAAGGUGGCCGGCACCUUGCUGGCGGGGCGGGCGCUGGGAAUCGCGACCCGAGAGGCCGUCGUGCUGGGUGCGCUGCUCAACGUCAAGGGCUACUCUGAUAUCCUCGCCAUCAACUUUGGGAACAAGAUCAACGUAUGGGGCGAGACCAUGCAGGUGGUGCUUCUCGUAUCAUCCAUCAUCAACACGUUCAUGGCCGGGCCGGCGUCCGCCGCCAUCGUCCGCCAGCAGCGUCGUGCCUACCACUAUCGCUCACGCUGCCUCGAGGACCUUAGCCUGGCCCACGAGCUUCGUAUGCUCGUAUGCACCCACGGUGCCACUAGCGUCUACUCGAUGCUCACGCUCAGUCACCUCUCCAGGGGCAGGGCACCAGUCGUCGCCGUGUACCUGUUGCACCUUGUCGAGCUCGCGACAUCGCGCAAGUACGCCAUCACGCAGCAGCUAUACCACGCCCGGGAUGGUGGCGAGGAUGAGGACGAGUGGGGCUACGCACGUGAGAUCGAGCAUGUGGCCUCCGCCGUGGCCACCUUCACCUAUGACAAUGCCAUCCUCGUGCGGCAGAUGACGGCCAUAUCCAGCUUGGGCUCUAUGGACACAGACGUGC